CCUACGGGGGGCAGCAGUGAGGAAUAUUGGUCAAUGGACGAGAGUCUGAACCAGCCAAGUAGCGUGAAGGAUGACUGCCCUAUGGGUUGUAAACUUCUUUUAUAUGGGAAUAAAAUGUUCCACGUGUGGGAUUUUGUAUGUACCAUAUGAAUAAGGAUCGGCUAACUCCGUGCCAGCAGCCGCGGUAAUACGGAGGAUCCGAGCGUUAUCCGGAUUUAUUGGGUUUAAAGGGAGCGUAGGUGGAUUGUUAAGUCAGUUGUGAAAGUUUGCGGCUCAACCGUAAAAUUGCAGUUGAAACUGGCAGUCUUGAGUACAGUAGAGGUGGGCGGACUUCGUGGUGUAGCGGUGAAAUGCUUAGAUCUCACGAAGAACUCCGAUUGCGAAGGCAGUUCACUGGACUGCAACCGACACUGAGGCUCGAAAGUGUGGGUAUCAAACAGGAUUAGAUACCCUGGUAGUC
rnacentral:rRNA from 1 species